UACGAAGGGGGGCUAGCGUUGUUCGGAAUUACUGGGCGUAAAGCGUGCGCAGGCGGCUUCUCAAGUCAGGGGUGAAAGGCCCAGAGCUCAACUCUGGAACUGCCUUUGAGACUGAGAGGCUUGAGUACGGGAGAGGUGAGUGGAAUUCCCAGUGUAGAGGUGAAAUUCGUAGAUAUUGGGAAGAACACCGGUGGCGAAGGCGGCUCACUGGCCCGUAACUGACGCUCAUGCACGACAGCGUGGGGAUCAAACAGG
rnacentral:rRNA from 1 species